CCACAUCGUCUUCAAAUCUGUCCAGCCAAGUGCAGUAAUGCAGAUUCCCUCAAGCGGGGGGCCAAUUCAGGAUCAUCACAACUUCAAUUUGGCAUUUCCGAGCGCAACCGCGAAAACCCUUUUGGAAGUCGAUCUGACCCAGACUAGCAGCGCUAUAUUCACACCUGCAAACAGGGCCAUUUUUAUCACAUCUGUAAUCACCGUCGUGGAUGCUGCUGGCUUCGAUGGCGUCAACAUUUUGUGGUCGCAAAGCCAAGAAAAUAACCAAAACAAGAUAGGAUUCACAGCUCUCAUGCAGGUCUGAUCUUGGACAUUGUCCCCUUCGAAACG